UACGUAGGUGGCAAGCGUUGUCCGGAUUUACUGGGCGUAAAGAGCGCGCAGGCGGUCGUUCAAGUCGCGUGUGAAAGCCCCCGGCUCAACUGGGGAGGGUCACGCGAUACUGAUCGACUCGAAGGCAGGAGAGGGUAGUGGAAUUCCCGGUGUAGUGGUGAAAUGCGUAGAUAUCUGGAGGAACACCGGUGGCGAAGGCGGCAUCCUGGACCGGCAUUGACGCUGAGGCGCGAAAGCUAGGGGAGCAAACGGG
rnacentral:rRNA from 1 species